CGGGAUUUACAAUCUGUUUGAGGGAUGGCGUUACAAAUGGAAACAAAUGUGUGUCUUUUAUGGGUAAUAUGUGGGAAUCCAGCUGUCCAUGGCUUGGGGACUCUGCAGGUGUGGAUUGCCUGGGGACAGUCACGGGGUGGUGAAUGCCUGGCACAGACUCUCCUCUUCCUGCUGUUCCGUGCUGAAGAAAGCCCAGUGUGAGCAGCGGCUUCACGGAUUCCUUCACAUGUUUCUGCAGUGUGUGCUCAGCCUUGUGUGCACACUCAGAUCGCAUCGCUCUGUUCUGAAUCUUCCCCCCAGAUUGUCCAAACAAGCCCGAGCAGACUGGCAGGCGCCAGCGCGGUGACGUCACCCAUUCAUCCGAGCCUUGACGCCUGUCAGCCUGGCGCCGCUCGGGCGGUCUCCAUGGAGACGUCAAACAAGAGAGCUCGCACUGCACUCCUCCAUUCACCUGCGUGUCGCGCGGAACACUGAGAACAAACCGGCUCCGGAGCUUUGUCGUUCAUUUAUCACCUUAAAGCAGCGGGAUGAGAUUACCGCCCAGCGCACCUGCAGAGCCGCCUCUGUCAGCCGGCUGACAGAGAGACAGAGGAGGAGGAAGGCUUGGCAUUAUGUUGUUACCGCAUUUUAACACAAAAUAACUGCUGCAUUCCUCCACACAGCCCUCUUUGACUACUGUAUGCCCCUGUGGUUACUAUAAAACUCGAUUUCAUGCA